ACGCACGCUGGCGGCGUGCUUAACCCAUGCCAGUCGAACGGUGAAGCGCCUUCCUUUUUGGUGGGUGUGGAUGAGUGGCGAACGGGUGAGUAACACGUGAGUAACCUGCCCCCUUCUUCUGGAUAACCGCAUGAAAGUGUGGCUAAUACGGGAUAUUCUGGGUCUGUCGCAUGAUGGGUCUGGGAAAGAUAUUGUUUCGGUGGGGGAUGGGCUCGCGGCCUAUCAGCUUGUUGGUGGGGUGAUGGCCUACCAAGGCGGUGACGGGUAGCCGGCCUGAGAGGGUGGACGGUCACACUGGGACUGAGACACGGCCCAGACUCCUACGGGAGGCAGCAGGGGGGAAUAUUGCACAAUGGGCGCAAGCCUGAUGCAGCGACGCCGCGUGAGGGAUGGAGGCCUUCGGGUUGUGAACCUCUUUCGCCAGUGAAGCAGGCCUGCCUCGUUUGUGGGUGGGUUGACGGUAGCUGGAUAAGAAGCGCCGGCUAACUACGUG
rnacentral:rRNA from 1 species